rnacentral:rRNA from 1 species
CCAUGCAUGUUUCAGUACAAGCCAAAUUAAGGNGAAACCGCGAAAGGCUCAUUAAAUCAGUUAUGGUUCCUUAGAUCGUACCCACACUUACUUGGAUAACUGUGGUAAUUCUAGAGCUAAUACAUGCAAACAGAGCUCCGGCCGGAGACGGCAGGAGUGCUUUUAUUAGAUCAAAACCAAUCGGUGGCGCAAGUCAUCGUCUAAUUUGGUGACACUGAAUAACUUUACGCUGAUCGCAUGGUCUUUGCACCGGCGACGCAUCUUUCAAAUGUCUGCCUUAUCAACUGUCGAUGGUAGGUUCUGCGCCUACCAUGGUUGUAACGGGUAACGGGGAAUCAGGGUUCGAUUCCGGAGAGGGAGCCUGAGAAACGGCUACCACAUCCAAGGAAGGCAGCAGGCGCGCAAAUUACCCACUCCCGGCACGGGGAGGUAGUGACGAAAAAUAACGAUACGGGACUCAUCCGAGGCCCCGUAAUCGGAAUGAGUACACUCUAAACCCUUUAACGAGGAUCAAUUGGAGGGCAAGUCUGGUGCCAGCAGCCGCGGUAAUUCCAGCUCCAAUAGCGUAUAUUAAAGUUGUUGCGGUUAAAAAGCUCGUAGUCGAAUUUGUGUCUCGCGCCGCUGGUGUAUCGUCCGCGAUGCUUACUGGCGUGUCGCGAGACGUCCUGCCGGUGGGCUUAGCUCUUCGGGGCGGCCCAACUCAAUCCUGCCGCGGUGCUCUUCAUUGAGUGUCGAGGUGGGCCGGCACGUUUACUUUGAACAAAUUAGAGUGCUUAAAGCAGGCUAAAAUUUCGCCUGAAUACUGUGUGCAUGGAAUAAUGGAAUAGGACCUCGGUUCUAUUUUGUUGGUUUUCGGAACCCCGAGGUAAUGAUUAAUAGGAACGGAUGGGGGCAUUCGUAUUGCGACGUUAGAGGUGAAAUUCUUGGAUCGUCGCAAGACGGACAGAAGCGAAAGCAUUUGCCAAAAACGCUUUCAUUGAUCAAGAACGAAAGUUAGAGGUUCGAAGGCGAUCAGAUACCGCCCUAGUUCUAACCAUAAACGAUGCCAGCUAGCGAUCCGUCGACGUUCCUCCGAUGACUCGACGGGCAGCUUCCGGGAAACCAAAGCUUUUGGGUUCCGGGGGAAGUAUGGUUGCAAAGCUGAAACUUAAAGGAAUUGACGGAAGGGCACCACCAGGAGUGGAGCCUGCGGCUUAAUUUGACUCAACACGGGAAACCUCACCAGGCCCGGACACCGGAAGGAUUGACAGAUUGAGAGCUCUUUCUUGAUUCGGUGGGUGGUGGUGCAUGGCCGUUCUUAGUUGGUGGAGCGAUUUGUCUGGUUAAUUCCGAUAACGAACGAGACUCUAGCCUGCUAACUAGGCGUAUUUUGACAUCCUAAAGGCCCGCCGGCCCGAGGUUCGCCUUGUGGUUGCGCGCGGUUUUUACUGUCGGCGUACAAACAAUUCUUCUUAGAGGGACAGGCGGCUUCUAGCCGCACGAGAUUGAGCAAUAACAGGUCUGUGAUGCCCUUAGAUGUUCUGGGCCGCACGCGCGCUACACUGAAGGAAUCAGCGUGUCCUCCCUUGCCGAGCGGUACGGGUAACCCGCUGAACCUCCUUCGUGCUAGGGAUUGGGGCUUGCAAUUGUUCCCCAUGAACGAGGAAUUCCCAGUAAGCGCGAGUCAUAAGCUCGCGUUGAUUACGUCCCUGCCCUUUG